rnacentral:rRNA from 1 species
UCCUGGGCGUAAAUUAUGCGGACUAGGUGUGGGGAUAUCCACGAGAUAUCUCUGUGCCGAAGGGAAGCCAUUAAGUCCGCCGCCUGGGGAGUACGGCCGCAAGGCUGAAACUUAAAGGAAUUGGCGGGGAAGCACCACAAGGGGUGGAGGCUGCGGUUUAAUUGGAUUCAACGCCGGAAAACUCACCGGGAGCGACGGCAGUAUGACGGCCAAGCUGAUGACUUUGCUUGACGAGCCGAGAGGAGGUGCAUGGCCGCCGUCAGUUCGUACCGUGAGGUGUCCUCUUAAGUGAGGUAACGAACGAGACCCCCACUCUCAGUUACCAGCAAAUUCCUAUGGAAUGAUGGGGACUCUGAGGGGACCGCUACUGCU